CACAGAAGAGGCACAGCCACAAGGCUGCUGCUGCAAAGGACGACACAGGCAAAUGCAGGCUCCCCGCUGGAUUGCCCCUGCCUGACACCCCAUGCUGGCAACCAGAGGCUGAUUCUGCCCGACUGCCUCCAGCUCCUCGAGUGUUCAGCCUGGGUUCCAGAGGGAGGCCAUACAGCCCCGUCAGAGACCACCAGGGAAGUAUCACAGACCGCAGCCAGCGGGUGAGCUCAGCUGGGAGUUUGCACCAAGCCUGGCUCCGGAGUGUGGCCUGACUGACGCAGGCUGGGACCACCCUACAUGGGCCGGCAGGUGUGGAAAUGGCCAUAGCGAACUACCGUGCGUCCAACCUGAGACACCUGGGGAUGGUGGAGCCAGGGGAGA
rnacentral:lncRNA from 1 species